AUGCAGCGGCUGGGUGCUGUGCCCUGUUCCAGGAACGCUGCCCCCUCCCCACACGUCAGUACCCAUCUCUCAGGCCCCUGGUUUUCCCAGGCCUGGAGCCCUUGCUUCGCUGCAACCCGGGGAAGUGCCUUUCACCCCAGUGACCUCCAGAGCUCUGUGCGAAGGCAGAGGGAGCCAGAAGGUGGAUCAGCCUGGCCCGUGGCCCCCCACCCGAAAGCCAACAGCUCAGGGAACUUGACCGGCUCCAGCACAUCCUGGGAACCCCCAUCUCUGGCUCCUCUCCUGACCCCUCCUCCAGCCAGGAGGCCCCGGGGAUGGACUGGCUGCGAGGGCUGGAACGGGGCUGGGAAAUUCAUCUUUGGAGAUCGCUCCGAGCCCAGCUCCAGGUGCUUGGCCCCCUGGGAAAGGCCAGCGGCUGCAGGCUCCCCCGGGCCCUGGACACCGGAGAAGCAGUGGCAGGACCCGAGGGCAGAUGGCGCGGUGGAGCCAAGGGAGGGAGUCGAGCCCAGAGUUUGCGGAGGAGCCUGCUGCGUGGCUCCCGUGCACAGGGCCCGGUGCUGGGACCUCCGGAGGCUGCCCUGGCUGGAGGGAGCAGGCGAGGAGCCCAGGAGGGACUGGAGAGCCGCAGCCUCUGCUCAUGGAGACACCAGCAGCCCCAUUCUGCUCUGGGAGAGGACAUGGACUGGGCAGAUGUGUCCCUGCCCUGUACAGCCAGGCUGGCUCCCUGUGUGCAGCGGAUGGGCCCAGGGCUGCCUGGUGCCCGCCUGCCUCGUGCUCAGGCUGUGCCAUGUUGCUCGCGAAUAGCCAAGCCCCAGCGCACCGGAGAGCUGUGAGCCUCCACCUACCACUGUCUCACUGCCCCGGCUUGCCCCGGGCACGCCCUGCACGCUGCCCUGUGCCCCCAUCCCUGCCUUGGGGAGAUCCCACCCAUCAGCACAGGACGUACCACAGGCACCAGCCAGGCACUGUCCUCCCCGGGACCUGCGGAUCUUUCCCACCCUCCUGCCGUCUGCAGCCAGACUGCUCUGCGCAUGGCCCUGGGGCCCACUCUGCAGGGCUGGGGCGGGAGCUGGUCCUGCUGCGUGGCAGGGAGGGGCUCUGUCCCUGGCGGGUUUCCCAGGCCCCUGCCUGUCUGACUCGUGGGCCCAGCUGCACCCAGAUCUGUUGUUUGCUGUGGAUUCACCUUUCUAAAUAAAGGGUUGCUGGUA
rnacentral:lncRNA from 1 species